UUGGCUUCUUGGCCUUUGGGCUAAGAUCAAGUGUAGUAUCUGUUCUUAUCAGUUUAAAAUAGUGUUGGGAUACAGAAGAUGAUACCAAUCCCUACAUUUUAUCAAUUUAUUCAACCUUCCUAUGUAUCUUUAUAUGUAGGAAAUGACAGCAAAGCGGAGGAGGAAACUCUU
ensembl:snRNA U2 U2 spliceosomal RNA